CUAGCUGUAAACGAUGGAUACUAGGCGUUGAGAGUAUCGACCCUCUCAGUGUCGUAGCUAACGCGUUAAGUAUCCCGCCUGGGGAGUACGCGCGCAAGCGUGAAACUCAAAGGAAUUGACGGGGGCCCGCACAAGCGGUGGAGUAUGUGGUUUAAUUCGAUGCAACACGAAGAACCUUACCAGGGCUUGACAUGUCCGGAACCCUGCCCAAAGGCGGGGGUGCCUACGGGAACCGGAACACAGGUGGUGC
rnacentral:rRNA from 1 species